rnacentral:rRNA from 1 species
AGAGUUUGAUCCUGGCUCAGAUUGAACGCUGGCGGAACGCUUUACACAUGCAAGUCGAACGGUAACGCGGGGAGAAGCUUGCUUCUCUCCGGCGACGAGUGGCGAACGGGUGAGUAAUACAUCGGAACGUGUCCGCUCGUGGGGGACAACCAGCCGAAAGGUUGGCUAAUACCGCAUGAGUUCUACGGAAGAAAGAGGGGGACCCGCAAGGGCCUCUCGCGAGCGGAGCGGCCGAUGACUGAUUAGCCGGUUGGUGAGGUAACGGCUCACCAAAGCAACGAUCAGUAGCUGGUCUGAGAGGACGACCAGCCACACUGGGACUGAGACACGGCCCAGACUCCUACGGGAGGCAGCAGUGGGGAAUUUUGGACAAUGGGCGCAAGCCUGAUCCAGCUAUUCCGCGUGUGGGAUGAAGGCCCUCGGGUUGUAAACCACUUUUGUAGAGAACGAAAAGACACCUUCGAAUAAAGGGUGUUGCUGACGGUACUCUAAGAAUAAGCACCGGCUAACUACGUGCCAGCAGCCGCGGUAAUACGUAGGGUGCGAGCGUUAAUCGGAAUUACUGGGCGUAAAGGGUGCGCAGGCGGUUGAGUAAGACAGAUGUGAAAUCCCCGAGCUUAACUCGGGAAUGGCAUAUGUGACUGCUCGACUAGAGUGUGUCAGAGGGAGGUGGAAUUCCACGUGUAGCAGUGAAAUGCGUAGAUAUGUGGAAGAACACCGAUGGCGAAGGCAGCCUCCUGGGACAUAACUGACGCUCAGGCACGAAAGCGUGGGGAGCAAACAGGAUUAGAUACCCUGGUAGUCCACGCCCUAAACGAUGUUAACUAGUUGUUGGGAAGUAAUAUUCUCAGUAACGCAGCCAACGCGAGAAGUUAACCGCCUGGGAAGUACGGUCGCAAGACUAAAACUCAAAGGAAUUGACGGGGACCCGCACAAGCGGUGGAUGAUGUGGAUUAAUUCGAUGCAACGCGAAAAACCUUACCUACCCUUGACAUGUCAGGAAGCUCUUGUAAUGAGAGCGUGCCCGCAAGGGAGCCUGAACACAGGUGCUGCAUGGCUGUCGUCAGCUCGUGUCGUG